UGACUUGGGAGGGGUUCACAGAACUACGCUGCAAAGAAAAUCAAUGGGGAGUCAUUACUGACUCUCACAAGACAAGAACAAGGGAGCACAACCUGAAGCUGGCAGGUAGAGCCCUGGUCGAGGUGAUCAUACAUCCCCUUUUUGCCCGGACAGUCCCCUAUUUGAGCCCUAUCCCAAGUGUCCCCACUUUUUUUUUAUUUGGCUAUUUGUCCCAUUUUCUUUUGCCAGCUGAUGUAUUGCAUGUUCAAUAAAGCAUUUUUCAUAUGGCAUUACAUAAAGAAAUGUAAUUGCAUUUUUUUUCCAUCCCUCCAUUUCACAAUAACAUCCCAACAUUUUACCACUUGGUUUGAUUUACAAUAGGUGGUGGUGGCCCAUGGCGGGGCUUUGGAUCUACCUACCCACAUGAAGUGCACAUGUGAUGCAUGGUCAGCUACAACACGUGAGGUUACAGAAGUAAUCAGUAGUGUUUGCUAUAAAAUGUCACAAACAUGCCUGUUCCUGUAAGGAAGACCUACAAAAUCAGCCAAGUUGUAUGACAGACUUGUGGAGAAAGCAAUCUGGGCUCAUGGUAGAAGUGAUAUAUUUUAUUAAACCAACGAGAUUUUUGCAAAAAAAAUGAUUUAAUUGCAAGACUUCUGGCAGCCGCUGUGACAUUACUCAGCACCUUCAAACAAAAAAACACAGGGGCCGAAAGUACUAAGUAUGUAACUCCAAGCGUUUCAGGGGGUUUUUUUGUUAAGCAAAACAAAAAAUUUGAUUGGCUUUUUGUUAAUCACAUUUUUGCCAGUGAGGGACUAUUUGCUUACCACUCUGUGUCAUGGACACCAUUUUGGGUCAAGUGACUACAUCAUUUUAAGAAACACUAUCAACCGAAGUUUUCAUUUGCUUGCACAAAAUCCAAGGCAAUAAUUUGCAAUGUAUUAGCUCUUUUAUCAACAGAAGAAGUGCAUCGUGACUUGGAGAAGUGCUCAUUUAUUAUGCUUAAUGUGGAUGCAUCGAACAAAAAAAGGAGCAAAAGCUGUUUCCUGUUCUUGUAUUCUUUUUUUCUUCCAGUUAGGGGAGUCAACACAAAAAUUACUGAGUUUUCUUUUCUACUGGGCGAAACAUCUGAUGUGCAGUGUGCAUUUCUCUAGCAAGUGAUUGAGAAUUACUCUCUUAGUGCAAAGCUCAUUGGAAUUUGUGCAGGCAAUACCAACACUAACUUUGGUGGUGCCAGACGUCCUGAAAAAAGCAAUUCGUGGCAAAAACUUCAAGCCAAACUAAGAGUUGAAGAGCUGAAAGACUUCUGCCAAUUUGUCAGUCUUGAGUAUUUUAAAUUACUACAGCACAGCAGCACACAAUUCUUGUCACUGAAACCAGCGCUGGAUAGAAUUCUGUUGAUUUUCAAUGGGCUUAAAGCAUGUUUCCUUUCUCAAGAGAAGUGCCUGACACUGUUAAAAGAAUUCUUCAAUGACCUCAGCACUAAAUUGUAGCUUGCUUUUGCCAGUAAACAAACAGCCAUGUUUCAGAAGAACGUAGAGGCAAUUGAGAAAAAUGAUGUGUCGGUGACAGAAGUUGCUCUGCAGAUACAUUCCCUGUGGGAUAAUUUAGCGGAGAGGCAUGGACAACAAUUCGUCACAACAAAAGCAAAGAACCUACUGCAGUCUCUUGUAGACUGUCGGCAAAUGAAGGAACAAGAAUUUUACAAUGCAGAAUUUUACAAUGCCUGUCUUACUUGGAGCACUGGAAACCUGCCUUUGAACAUGCAAAAAAGCUUGAGUGGGCCCUGUUGAGUAAUAUGCCAGUGUGGGAUGAAAUAUAAGACAGCUUCACUACAUGCCACACUAGAAUUCCGACCUUACGUAUGUUGGAUUAAAAUUGCCUUUUUAAAUGGGCCAAUGCAAAAUCAAUCAUCUCGUCAUCUUUCUGACUGCAACCAUCAGCGAAUUCCCAUUGCUGAAAGGUGGCUGUGCAUUUUUCAAGAGAUGGACAGCAAGACAGUACAAUAUGCAGAUCUAGCUAAGGCUGUGGAAUUCAUGUUAUGUUUCCUGGGCACAACUGCCCCUGUUAAACAUGUGUUUUCUAUAAUGAACAAUGUGUGGUCUCCUGAAAAAUCACAUCUACAUGUCUUCACCAUGAAGGCUAUGUGAGUUAAUUUUGAUCUGGAUUGUACUGUGUUCUGUGACAAGCUGCUGAAAGACAAGCAGGCCCUCUAAAAGAUAGCAUCAUCAGAGAAAUAAAGCUGGCAACAAGCAACUUCACACCGUGAAGGACAGCAAGACAAGGAAAACAUCAGUACUCACUUUAUUGUCUUUGAAGAAGGUGUUGUGCCCAUUUUACAAAAAUGAAAAUGGAGUUACAAGGGUUAAGAAGAUAAUUUUCAAGUGUCCAUUAAUUUGGGGUACUACUCUUGAGACAGAAGUCCUCGGAUCUUCAGAGGUGCCAAGUACCUGAAGUAAGGCAGUGAAAAAGAAACAAACAAUUUUGACUUGUGGUCUGAAGUCUCUCCCUUUUAAGUGAUAAUCUCCAACUUUUUUUAAUGUUUCUUAAAGCUGUUUUUUUUUUUCCAGUUCUUCCAAAAGUUUCAUUUUCAGCUAUUUUUCUGUCCUGUUAGACUGGAGAAUUGGUAAUAAAUGCACAUCCAUAAAAACUAGUAGCAACCACAUAAUCAGAUUGCACUGACUUAAGAACAUCAUCGUUCCAUGUGAACACCACUGAUUAUACAAUGAAGGAGACAGCAGUUCAUAUAGUUUUGAGGAACUUCAGUAUACAAUCCCUUCACUCUGUAAACCACUGGUAGACAUUAGAAAAUAGCUAAUGUCUUUACUGCUCUGUAGGGUUUGUCCAGACAACAAACAUGGUUUGACUUUGUCCAUAGAUACACUAGCAUGAAAAGCAACUAUAGACUUGCAGUGCCAAAGUAAAACAUAGAUUACACCAAUGAGACACACCCCAUUUAUGUUGUAAUUAGCAUGUUAAUUGCAACAUAAAUGUAACGUGUAGAGAGGGCCCUGGUCAUGUAUGCUGGUAUGGCACAUCUGUCCUGGGCUUUUGCCCUGACAAAAAAGACCCAAUAUAGAUAGUUUUUAGGGGGGCUGGGUUUUUUUUUAAUAAUUAAGUUCUAAACAGGACGUAAAGGAGCUUAAUUUAAGAAGAGGCUGGUAGAAAUAUUGCCAACGCAACUACUUCUGUACCCAUACUCCUCAGAGGUUCCCCUGAGAAUUUAAUCCAGUUUCUCUACUCUCCCUCAUUACAGCAACCAGGAUUGCAUUUGGCCUUUAAUAUGUCCUAAUGAAUGAUUUUACAACUGUCCACAGAGACCGGGGGAAAAAAACAAACCCAUGGGUUCCAAUUCAAUAUUUUUUUUAUUUUGGUUACCACAGACGGAAUUCAAUAAUGAACUCAUGCUUUGCAACAGUUUUCUCAAUACAACUAGCACUAAAAAAAUUAGAACAGUUGCUGACUGUAAAUAAAGGGUUAUGUACAGACGUAAUUUCAAACAAUAAUUCUCAGAAGCUGUGUCAACGUGCUUCAGUUAAAGGUGAAAAAAAACUUGUAUUCUGGGUGAAAGUGCCCAUGUAACAAUGGCCCACCUUAUAUGGUUUAUCAGCCAAAAUUGACAGUCAGUAAAUUUGUGUUUCUAUUGCCUUCAGCACUAAGCUUCUGUUGACAAACUAUAUCAUAUUUCCUGAAUGCAAAAAAAUUGGAACACAAUUAAAAAUGGAAUUCCUGAUCAGCUACUUGAAGCAGUCUCUAUUUUCUAUAUAGAUUUGCUCUCAGGUCUUGUCUACAGUAAGGGGUAAACUGUAUGAUGGAAUGUUAGCUCGUAUGUGCCAAUACAUUUGAAGAAGCUGAUGAAGACAAGACGAGCACCUUUAAUGUGCACUAUACCGAUUAACUUAAAUCCUAGGCUUCCACUAGGCUUUCAAAAUAUAUUAAGAAGACACAACACCUUAAAUCCUAGUCUGGAUAGGACGUGAAGGGGCGCUCCCUGUGUGGUCAUCUUUGUGUAUGAGUAGGCCUAUUGCCUUCAUUGGACCUGAACAAACCACAGAGAAUGUUAGAGUUGGAACCUGAAAUCCUUACUCUGCCUGAGUGAGGGCCAAGGAAAAAUAAAGCAGGACUCACUGGUGGUUCUGCUUGAGUACUGACAAAAGCUGUCUGCACUAAGAGCACUUUUGUAAACAUUGACAAAUCUGUUAAAAAUAGAGUACUGAUUGCUCAUGGACUGGUCUGGACAUGCAAAUAGGAAUACUAGCAUACAAUACAAGAAACUUAUUCCUAAUGAGGACCAGACUAAACUGGCAACGCUGCUUUCUGUUCUAGUACAAGAUGACCCCUCUCCCUCUCUUGAACCAAAAUAGACUAUUCUUUUAAACGCAGUUUUGUCAGUCCAAACUGCAUCAACAAGCAGGACUUCACGUUGUUCCCUCCAGCAAAGCUCAGAUCUGGCAUAGCAACCCUUUGUCACCUAUGUCCACUUGCUUUUCUAUAACUUAGGAAAUCGCAUCUCUUGGAAUAGUAAAAAGUUCAGUUAUGCUCCAAAGUCCAGAAUAGUCUUUGGCCAGCCUUAUGCUUCCUUACAACCUGGGACUUGCAUGUCUUUUGGUUCCUUGCCUUCUCGGGCUUUCACUUCAGCUAGAGGAAGCCAAAACCCAGCCUCCACUAUAGGUUUCAGCUAGGGUGGCCACUGAUACAAACCCAGAAUACAGACAUCCCCUUGGCCAAUCAGCGGUGAGGGGUGGGGCCACCACAAAAGGGCCGCCUCUCUCCCUGGCUGCGAAUCCUGCUCCUGGCUGUGCACCACUCUAGCUCUAGGCACAGCCAAUACAAUCAUGAAGACAAGUGAUUGACAUGAGUUUCCACUAAUGAACUGAAAAACAGGACUUUUUGCAGUCCAGUCUUCAUUGAGAAACAGACAGGGGACAGCGUUUAAAAAUAGGAUGGUCCAGUAUGAAACAGGACCCGUGGCCACACAGUUUCAGCCCAGAGACCCUCAUAUUAUGCAGCUGAGGACCAAUCCUUCCUAAUCUUCAGUGUUUCCCUGAGCUGCUUCUUAUUGAACUUUUUACAUUUUUUUGUCUCCAGCUGUCCCCUGUUCUGCCUCGGCUUCAGUUUUGUAUAGCAGCUGUCUCUAAUAGUCUGCUUAGUCACAGCUGGGCAAGGUAAUGAGGUUACCUCUCUCAUCAACCUUUUCCUGGCUGCUGUUUUGUGGGGCACAUAUAUCUCAUUGCACGUUUAUGCCAAAAUAACUUUGUUGGCCAAGGAUUAUCACUUCCUCAUAGCAUACAUCAUUGAAUACAUUCUUGUGCAUUCAUCUCUAUUUGAAGAGGAAUCAAUUGGCCUACCAUUAAAAUCCAACUCCAACCUGCCAUUAUGUUUAUAAUAAAUAAGGGUAGCACU